AAACACUCUAAGUUUUCUAGAGCCUGGAUCCCAAAACAAACACCCCAGCACCAUCAACUGCUUUCCUUUUAGUGCUUUACAAAAACAUUAAUAGCAUGACUAACACCUACUUUGAAUUUCUGUUUCAGCUGAAGCAGAGGGAAUUUGAAGCACAACAGAAACCCACUUUACACAGUUUCUAGCUUUGUAUGGAAGUGACCCAAGAAGGAGCUGUUGUGCAUCCAAGACCCUAACUUGUGAAGGUGUUUACAGAGGUGGCCCUCAGCAAAACAAAACUGGGACACCUCCCCCUCCUUCCUUCUUUCCACUUUGGAGGCCCCUUACCACAGCCUGAGACCAAUCUCAGCACUUUCCAGUGUGCACAGAAUGUAAAGGCAGUACUGAAAUUACUGACCAAAGAAACAGAGUUAACUAAGGGAGAUGCUUUAUCUCUUUCUAGUUUCUAAGAUGACUUCAGAAAGCAGGGUAGGGCAGGAAAUGAAGACUUAGAAGUCAUUCAUCAACUUUUACAAGUCACCAAGAAUAAAGACACCAGGAAUUUUCUCAGCUUUAGCCAAGUAAAAUACAAAGUGCUUUUUCACAGGACAGUGUCCUUUCUUCUGUGUUAGUGCAUUUCACCCACGUAAAGAUUAAAGAAUUUUCGGAGUUAAG